rnacentral:rRNA from 1 species
UACAGAGGGUGCUAGCGUUGUUCGGAAUCAUUGGGCGUAAAGGGCGUGUAGGCGGUUUGCUAAGUCAGGUGUGAAAUCCCCGGGCUUAACCUGGGAAUUGCGCUUGAAACUAGCGGGCUUGAGUGUGGCAGAGGGGGGUGGAAUUCCACGUGUAGCAGUGAAAUGCGUAGAGAUGUGGAGGAACACCGAUGGCGAAGGCAGCCCCCUGGGCUAACACUGACGCUCAUGCACGAAAGCGUGGGGAGCAAACAGG